UUAAAUUCCCCGAGGGAGGAACCCAACCAGUGGGCGAAGGUNNUUCGGGUUAGNAACGCGCCCGAACGGUGAGGGAUGAAAGCUGGGGGAGCGAACCGGAUUAGAUACCCGGGUAGUCCCAGCUGUAAACGAUGCAGGCUAGGUGUUAGGGCGGCUACGUGCCGCUCUAGUGCCGCAGGGAAGCUGUUAAGCCUGCCGCCUGGGGAGUACGGCCGCAAGGCUGAAACUUAAAGGAAUUGGCGGGGGAGCACCACAAGGGGUGAAGCUUGCGGUUUAAUUGGAUUCAACGCCGGGAAUCACUAG
rnacentral:rRNA from 1 species